rnacentral:rRNA from 1 species
AGAGUUUGAUCCUGGCUCAGGAUGAACGCUGGCGGCGUGCCUAACACAUGCAAGUCGAGCGUGAACCCUUAGAAUGAAACUUCGGUCGAAUGAAGAGGGGGAAAGCGGCGGACGGGUGAGUAACGCGUAGGCAACCUGCCCCGUACAGAGGGAUAGCCUCGGGAAACCGGGAUUAAAACCUCAUAAUACCAUGGUAUCACAUGAUGCAAUGGUCAAAGAUUUAUCGGUAUGGGAUGGGCCUGCGUCUGAUUAGCUGGUUGUGGGGUAACGGCCUACCAAGGCAACGAUCAGUAGCCGACCUGAGAGGGUAAUCGGCCACAUUGGAACUGAGACACGGUCCAAACUCCUACGGGAGGCAGCAGUGGGGAAUAUUGCACAAUGGGCGAAAGCCUGAAUGCAGCAACGCCGCAUGAGCGAAGAAGGCCUUUGGGUCGUAAAGCUCUGUCGGGAAGGAAGAUAAUGACGGUACUUCCCGAGGAAGCCCCGGCUAACUACGUGCCAGCCGCCGC